CCUACGGGUGGCUGCAGUGGGGAAUAUUGCACAAUGGGGGAAACCCUGAUGCAGCAACGCCGCGUGGGUGAAGGAGCGUUUCGGCGCGUACAGCCCUGUUAGCGGGGAAGAAGAAAGACGGUACCCGACCAAGAAGUUUCGGCUAACUACGUGCCAGCAGCCGCGGUAAAACGCAGGGGGCGAGCGUUAUCCGGACUUACUGGGUGGAAAGGGAGCGUAGACGGCGAGGUAAGCCUGAAGUGGAAGCCCGGGGCACAACCGCGGAACUGCUUUGGGAACUGUUUGGCGGGAGUAUGGGAGGGGUAAGCGGAAGUCCUAGUGUAGCGGUGAAAUGCGUAGAUAUCAGGAGGAACACCGGUGGCGAAGGCGGCUUGCUGGACCAUGACUGACGUUGAGGCUCGAAGGCGUGGGGAGCAAACAGGAUUAGAUACCCUGGUAGUC
rnacentral:rRNA from 1 species